rnacentral:sRNA from 1 species
UGCGCUCAUCAUGGUAAGUCACUUCUGUGCAGCAUGUGGGAGGCCCUUGCACCUCCUCUCACCAACCUGGAGCUUGCUCUACGGCGGUUUCCUUUCCGCUAACCCCUUCACUCAUUUAUCUGCUUGAGACCAUUGCCGCCUCUUGCAGUUUUCUCCCAGCUGCAGACCAGUCGAAUCCCAGGCCAUGGCUUCUGUGCUCCCGCAUCACUACACAAGUGGGAGUGGGGUCCCCUGCCAGCCGCAGCCCCUGGGAACUUGUUAGAAAUGUGAAUUCCCAGGCACCCACCCCAGACCCCACUGAAUCAGAAAUGUGGGGGGUGGAGCCCAGCAGUCCAUGUUAACACACCUUCUAGAUGAUUCUGAUCUGAACAUGCCAAGUGUGAGAAGCACAGAAUUAGAACAGCCAGCACAGCCUCUAGGGGCACAGGGAAGGAAGGUGCUUGUAUGUGAGCAGAUGAUAUCGAGGGCCUUGCUGAACAGCCUUGAUUCAGACAGAAUCCUAGGAUGAGGGAAGAAGUCAUGUUUGGAAGCUUUGCUUUUGUGAAAAAACAGUGAAGGACUUGACGUUUUCCUGCAUAACACAACCGUUUUCCUCAGGCCAGACACUCGCGCCACUCUGCAUACAGGCUCUGUCAGAAGAGUGUCUGCCCCAGCCAGCGUGGGCACUGCUGCAGGGAGAGCCCCGAGGAGGCGCCUGCCGCUGCUGUUUGGCUAGCAUUCUGUUCACUCUCGUGUCCUUUGCCUUGUGCUCAGGUAGACAACACCAAGUUUACGAUGGACUGCGUAGCGCCUACGAUCCACGUGUACGAGCACCAUGAGAACAGAUGGCGGUGCAGAGACCCACACCAGUGAGUGCGCCCCAUGCUGCCGCGCGGGCUGCGCUCUGUCAGCGCCCGGCCACGUGAAAGCCACUCUCACCCAGCCUGUGUUUUCAGUUAGUGUUUUCUCCAGAGGCAUGAUACCGAGCAUAUUCCCCAGCUCCUGUAGGCCCCAGUGCUCCAGCGCUUCCAGGCAGUAGAGGGAACCUCAGUGGUACUCACAGGUCUUCCCACCCCAGGCCCUAGGGCACAGACACUCUUCCCAGGCCUUUGCUUUGAUGUAUCUGUGGCCAUUCAGAAAGCUUCAGUCAUCUGCCUCCAACUUUCUCAGAAUUCCAUGUGAAGGGUGUCCCUUCCAUGUAUUAACCAUGUUUUCUAUGCUCUGUGUACAUCUUCAUGCGUUUGAAAUGCACAUGUUUCUCAGUACUCUGCACCAUCUCUGUUCAUACCAUUGUGCAUAUGGCUGGCCUUCUCACUUGAUGCUGUUACAAGCCAUCCGUUUUCACUGUUAGAUGCUGACUUCUUCAUGUUUGACCCGUAGUGACUACUGUGAAGACUGGCCAGAGGCACAGAGGAUCUCAGCCUCGCUCCUGGACAGCCGGUCCUAUGAGACGCUCGUGGAUUUCGAUAACCACCUGGAUGACAUUCGGAAUGACUGGACAAACCCAGAGAUCAAUAAAGCUGUCCUGCACUUGUGCUAGGCAGGCACCGCUGUGACUGGGCUCCGGGCCUUUCCACUACACUGAAGAAGAAAACCUAUUUUUAAAUGUAAAUAAAAUAUCUUGUAGCCUGUGUGGAAAGCUGACCGUUUUAAGAAGUGGCAUGUGCCUUGAAAGGGGGCAGAAUGUUCAGUCGGUCGUGUUUUUAACACAGAGUCUCUAGAAAAGGUGCAGACAUCCCGUCUGACUGUCCCUGUGGACUGUCUCAGUUGUAUGUUGCUAUAAUCCUCCAAAUCAAAGCUCUUUCUGCUUGUGCAAGAUUGUUCCUAUUAAACAGUUUUAACUAACCUUU